rnacentral:tRNA from 1 species
GAUCCCGGCGGUCGUUCGGCAUCGGACUCCGGAUCAGAAGGUUAGGGGUUCGAGUCCCUUCGGGCGCA